UCCCAGACUCCUACGGGAGGCAGCAGUGGGGAAUAUUGGGCAAUGGGCGCAAGCCUGACCCAGCAACGCCGCGUGAAGGAAGAAGGCUUUCGGGUUGUAAACUUCUUUUAAGAGGGAAGAGCAGAAGACGGUACCUCUUGAAUAAGCCACGGCUAACUACGUGCCAGCAGCCGCGGUAAUACGUAGGUGGCAAGCGUUGUCCGGAUUUACUGGGUGUAAAGGGCGUGUAGGCGGGGACGCAAGUCAGAUGUGAAAACCACGGGCUCAACCUGUGGCCUGCAUUUGAAACUGUGUUUCUUGAGUACUGGAGAGGCAGACGGAAUUCCUAGUGUAGCGGUGAAAUGCGUAGAUAUUAGGAGGAACACCAGUGGCGAAGGCGGUCUGCUGGACAGCAACUGACGCUGAGGCGCGAAAGCGUGGGGAGCAAACAGGAUUAGAUACCCUUGUAC
rnacentral:rRNA from 1 species